CGACACUAGUAGAACGACCCGGGACGUCUGACGGAGCACACCGACCCUCCACACACACUAUACUGUCCGAACACUGUACGUUGUGAAGUGAUAGUGACGGCAGCUGUGACCUGUAGCUCUCGUGCGAGUUGUGUUAUGAUGGCUGCCACCGAGCCAUCACCAAGGCAGUGCAGAUAGCAUAAUACAAAAGCCAGUUGGCUUCUGUUCCGUUAACAAAAAGGUUAGUGACAAGCAGGUCUGGGUUGAAACUUCUCCCAGCUACCACCGCGUCCGCGCCCCUCUCCCCUCCUCCGUCCAGAAUAGACCUUGGGGAAAACCCUUUCCGCUGCAGGAAGUAGUGUUGCCCCUAGGCCCGGCCGGCGCCCCAGGGCCACAGUGCCACUAACCACCACGGCGGAAGCCUCGCCCAAACCUGCAGCAACUACUAACACAAGGACGAGAACACACACUCAGGCAAAGGACAGGAGGACCACUCAAGAGGAGCCAGCCUGAGGCAAGAUGGCACAGCAACUUGAGCAGCUCCUUACCUGCUGUAUAUGUCUGGACCGCUUCCGCAACCCAAAACUGCUACCAUGCCAGCACUCGGUGUGUAUGGAGCCCUGCAUGGAGGGCCUCGUCGACUACGUCCGUCGACAGGUCAAGUGCCCGGAGUGUCGCGCCGAGCAUCGGAUCCCUUACAAUGGGGUUCAAGGGUUUCCUUCCAACGUGACGCUUCAGAGGUUCCUCGAGGCUCACAUAGAGAUCACUGGCGAGACGCCGGACCCACACACAGGACAGUUAAUGGAAAGAUGCAACGUAUGUAACGAAAAGAAUUACUUGGCUGUGUGCGCCCACUGUGAAAAGAAGAUUUGCGAGGACUGCAAAGCUGCGCACACAGACAUUCUCAAACGAGAGAUUGGUCGCAUCAACAAUCAGGUUAAACGCGCCGCUCAUCGGCUGAACGAUCAGCUGUCUACUGUGGAACGCAACAUCACCGCCCUCAAGCAGAAUACACACAGUGUCUCAGAUGAAAUUGAAAAUAUCGCUAAACGUCUGCAAAAGUCUGUUAGAGACCGCUGCGAUUUUCUGAAGGCUGAGGUGGAGAACUACUAUAACAAUGAGCUUCGGAACCUGACAACACUCAAGGAGUCCCUCGAUCAAGAGGUCUCCAACAUCGGGGCCAACAUCGAACUGGCAGAGAAACACAUGGAUGAUAACACUCCCUGGGACGAUGCAGAGCUCAUGGACACCAAGGAUAUCUUCCUCAAGACCAUGGAAUUCAUUCGAAGUUUUGAUUACGAAGCCGGGGACUACAGCAGACGAACCAGAUUUAACCCUCCUGACGAUAUCAAUAAGCUUGCGACAACCCUGAGUACCCUGGGAGAGUUGACCUUCAAUACGCCCAACAAGAUGAGUGACGGCUACAACUCCGGCCCCUCCAUGGGCUCCGGCCUCAUGAAGAGUAAGAGCGACCACAGGCUGGCAGCUCAGUUUAGGGACCAGGAAGAUGGCUACGGUUACAGCUCAGGCAGGACCUCGCCUCUCAUGCGCAGACGCUUUGGGGAGAGGAACGUCGAGAGGCACGACGAGGAUUCCUCGGCUGACUCUGGGCGGCGGCGGUUCCGGUCAAGGUUCAUGCGCAAAGAAGAAGACGAGGAGCGUUCGGUUCGCUUCGCCGAAGAGGACGGAGUCAAACGACAGCGAGUCCUCGACACAGAGGAUGCCUCGCGCGGCCCGCUGUCCGGGAUCGUCAGACUCUACGACUCGCCCCGUGUCAUGAAACGAUUCCAGGAGCGUGAUCAACUUAAGAAUAAAAAGAAGGAAGAACCACCUAAGCCUGUACAACCCACGUUACCCAAGCCUCCCGUGACCCCUGUGCAGCGUAAAACAUCACGCCAAACUAGCAAUGAAGACGAAAUAGAUAAAAUUAAGAAACAAAAUAAAGCAGCAGACACGCCAGGAGCGACUGCCACAACGCCAACAGUGAGCUCCUCCACUCCCUCCACACCAACCACUCCCAAGCCCGCAGGUGAACGCGUUUCCUCCAUCAAAGAUGACGAGCGGCAGAGCCGCGUUGAUCGCACCUCCACUUCACCCAGAUCCUCUGUAAAUCAUUCCCCCACGUCUUCUAUGACUCGUGAAGAUGACUCCAGUCGUAGGCGUGAGUACAUAGGCUCCAGAACAGAUGCCAAUAUUACUGGAGCCAACGGUACAUCUGGUCGGCCUACUCUGGCCCGCAAAACGAGUGUUGAUACUGGAGUGACUAGUGUAGCACAGCGCUCCUAUCCCUUCAGCCGUUCUUCAUCUAAUUCAUCUGUAGGGGAUAAAGAUAAGGAUAAAAACACAAGUGGAACUCGAAGCCCCCGGCCCCUCGACACCACAGGCUUCGAGCGCCGCUUAUCUCGCUCCAACAGCACGGAGAGCAACAAGUCAGGUGAUGGGGCAGCAUCCCCUAAGAAAGCGACAGGUGCAGCCUUCUCUACCGAGGAACUUAGAAACCGUUUCGUGAAGGCAGACACAAAACCGUCCACAUCUAAAGUUGAUACUUCUAGAACGUCCGCUCAGAGUAAUUCUCGUUUUCAAUCACGUUUUUUAGGACGAGCCGGUACUCCUUCAGCAGAGGCCUCGAAGGAAUCAGGGAAUGAAGAUGAAGAUGAAGAAAGCAGCGAUGAUUCCGAGUCCGAGGAGAGUGAAGAGUCGUCUGAGGAAGAGGAGGAGGAGGAGGAGAAGGAACCUACAUCAGAAUACUCUCGUCCGGACGUUGGGCCCCUACUGGGGAAGAGUGCCCAGGCUCGCGAUGUAGCUGCCCCGGCUACUAGCUCUAGGAGCACCUGGAGUGAAAGGAAUUCAUACCCACCAGCUAGUUCUAGUGUAAAUGAUUCCGGUUAUGCAAGUAGAUAUGGCAGUAGCAGUGAGAAUAGCAAUGGCAACAGCACCACCACCCCAACCAGCAGGUAUGGAACCUCCAGCGUUAACACCAGCAGCACCGACACGGGAACAACCAGUCACCGGCGCCCAUCGUACCUGGACACACCGAAACCUCAGGCCAAGGAAAAGGAAGAUGAUUUUGAGUCUAAAUAUCCCUACUCAAGUAAGUACCUGAACCGUUCUCGGGCCGCAGUACCCGAGGAGGAUACCAAACCAACUUUUCAAAGCCGAUUUCUUAACCGGUCAAAAAGUUCGGCCGUUUUAGGACCUGAUGACACUGAUGAAUCUACUCCUGCCGCCACACAUGGCACUGGCCGGGCUCGCUUUGAAGAAUUAAAGGAACGAAGACAAAGGUUGGCAAGAAGCAAAAGCUCUGCAGGCCUGGAAGAUGAAGAAGGGACAACUCCUGACACAAACUCCGCCUCCAGUUAUCGACCUCGUUAUGGUCGAGUAGAACCUGAAACUUCUACCACAACACGUAGCACUACUUCAGGUGCAACAUCGUCAGGAAUAGGAAGCAGUAGCGGUACCGGAAGUGAAGAAGGUGGUUCAUCAUCUACCCAGCUCUCUAACUGGGCCCGCUACCUCAAGAAUAAGUAUGGUAACAGAAGCGGAGCAGCAGGAGGAGAUAGCACUGGUCGAAGUACUAGUACCGGUCUUGGCAGUGCUAGCACUGGGUUGGGCAGCAGUGCCAGUGGCACCAGCGGUCUCCUAGGCAGCUCACGACCUGGUACAAGCAGCACAGUAGGAGCCGGAGCUAGAGCUAUCUCUCGCUCUCGGUCCUCGCAUCUUCUUGGUCUUGCCAAAGAGGGCGAAUCUUCUGAAGAUGAUUCAAAAAACGUGCACGCUACCCCUACUUUCCCACAAGCAGGUACACUGGUUCCUACUCCGUUCGGAAGUUUACAUAGGAGCCAGUACCUGCAGAAACAACGCCUCUUAAUUAAGAUCGGGAGUAGGGGUAGUGAACCUGGAAAUUUUACAUGGCCAAGAGGCAUAGCUGUUGGACCCGACAACAGCAUUGUGGUUGCUGACUCUAGCAACCACCGCGUGCAAGUAUUUGACCAACAAGGUAAGUUCAUAAAAGAAUUUGGCUCUUAUGGAAGUGCAGAAGGUGAAUUUGAUUGUCUGGCGGGAGUUGCUGUUAACAGAAUCGGUCAGUAUAUCAUUGCCGAUCGCUACAACCAUAGGAUUCAAGUAUUUGAUCCAUCUGGCAUGUUCCUCCGAUCCUUCGGAAGCCAAGGUGGUGGAGAUGGGCGAUUUUCUUACCCAUGGGGUGUAACCACAGAUGCUCUCGGAUUCAUCUACGUCUGUGACAAAGAGAACCAUCGUGUACAAGUCUUCCAGUCUGACGGGUCUUUCGUUGGCAAGUUUGGGUCAAUGGGCAACAAACCUGGACAGCUCGAGCACCCACAUUACAUCGCUGUCUCUUCCACCAAUCGAGUUAUCGUCUCAGAUUCCAACAACCACCGCAUACAGAUAUUUGACAUUAAUGGCAAGGUUACAACAACAUUUGGGUCAGAGGGCAGCGACGAGGGACAGUUCAAGUUCCCAAGGGGAGUGGCUGUAGACGACCAAGGAUACAUCUUCGUGGCUGACAGUGGCAACAACCGUAUACAGAUCUUCCACCCCGACGGCUCCUUCCUAAGGGCAUUCGGCUGCUGGGGAUCUGGAGAGGGAGAAUUCAAGGGCCUUGAAGGUGUGGCGGUUAUGUCAAAUGGAAACAUCCUCGUCUGCGACCGGGAGAACCACAGAGUGCAGGUCUUCUGAGAAGGUCAUGCUUCGCAGACUCAGUUUGACCUCAAACCAUCGCUGGGAGAGUAGUGACGUAUCUGAGGUCAUAAAAAAUAUUUCGUGAGGAGAUAACAGAAAAGGUUGUUGGUUGCUCAUUGACUAGAAGAAAACCUAGCACCAUGCCAGCAGCAACUUGGAAUAUGGACAAGACUUUCUUUUCUCGACGAACCAAUUGAGAAGAAAUGCACACUGUUCAACGGUAAUGAGGCUGUAAUUGAUGAGAAAGGAUACAAAAGAAAUGUUAAUGAAUAUGAACUUACUUGAUGGUUAUUUCGUCACAUGUAGGAACUCGGGUUAGGCGAAUUUUCCUUGUCAAUUCGCCGACAACCUCAAGGGAGACGAAAUUUAGAUUCAUUAUUUAUCGAGAUAUAUUGAGGGUAAACGUUGGUAGGCAGUCUAGGGCAGAGUGAACUCUGUCCGUGUUUGGGUAUUCAUUGCAUUUCAUUCCAAAAAUGCCAUAAUAGAUCAUAAGACCCAGUUUACUAUGAAGAGUACUGUUGUAAAGUUCUAUACGUAUAUGAUUUUUUGACUCCACCUUGCCCUAGACAUGUAGUCUACCCUAAUUGUGAUUGCUAGGUUACAGUGCAUCUGGGGGUGAUGUGUACAUUAGACUUUAUUGUAACACAUUUGUACAUUGUACAUAAGUGUAUUUUUAUGAAUAUAUGAAAGCAUCAGUACUAAAGUAUCAAUCGUCUGCAAGUUCGUGAUGGCAUAUAACUUGUAAAAUUGAAUGUGUGAGAAUUUGUCAGUUCCUUUUUCUUUGUACUCAGUGUUGGCCAUAGAUAAGUCAACAUACUCUGGGGAUACUGCCAUGAUGACUGGUCACAUGGAAUUGUACAUGUCUUAACCUCUUCACCGCUAAUAAUUUUAAUUUUUGAAGUCAUUCGAUACAUAAUGGAUCCUUCCGUAUCUUGAAAUCAGUCUUUUAACCUGUAAUUAUUAGAUGCAUGAACAGCAGUUUGCUUUUUAGUUGGGCACAGUGGCGCGCAGACAUGCAAUAACGUACUUAUUGUGCCAUAAACAUUCUAUCAUGUUUCUUUUACUAAGUUUAUUGAGGAAGAGGAUUGAAAAAAAUAGUGAAACAUCUAAGUUAUACUAUAUAUCUUUUGCAAUACUUACUUAAUAUGAUUUUUAAAUAUGUAUAUCUCCAAAAAAUCACUGUUGGACAUAUCGUUGUUUGUAGUUAUAAUAAGCAUUUUUCUUAUAUAUGUGUUGUAUAGUUAGUCACAUUUACACAAAGGUUAAAGAAGCAAAGAUCCUUGAUGUGAAAUUUCUCUCAAAAGGGUGUUACAGUAUUUAAAUAAUUCUCUUUUUGUAAGAGGGUUCAUUUUAAAUUCCAAUUUAUGGCUUGUUUUCUCAGCAGUAUUGUUGCCCACUUGUUGAAAGAUAUUCUGCAAUGAGUGUAGCAGUUUUAAAGAUAAACUUAAAAUUUUCAGAAUCUUUUGAGCUCAAUUGUUUAAUUAAAUUGGUGUUGGCUACAAAUUGUCUUAUUCAGUUUUGAGUAAUGUUCUAAUAAGACUGUCUUUCUAACUAUUAAUAAAUUAAUCAUUGUCUAGUUAUUUUCUUUAUAUUACUGAAAUGAAAGACUGUCAAGCUGAGAAUAAAAUGAUCAGUUCAA